rnacentral:rRNA from 1 species
GACGAACGCUGGCGGCGUGCUUAACACAUGCAAGUCGAACGGCAAGGCCCUGCUUUUGUGGGGUGCUCGAGUGGCGAACGGGUGAGUAACCCGGGAGUAACCUGCCCUUGACUUUGGGAUAACUUCAGGAAACUGGGGCUAAUACCGGAUAGGAGCUCCUGCUGCAUGGUGGGGGUUGGAAAGUUUCGGCGGUUGGGGAUGGACUCGCGGCUUAUCAGCUUGUUCGUGGGGUAGUGGCUUACCAAGGCUUUGACGGGUAGCCGGCCUGAGAGGGUGACCGGCCACAUGGGGACUGAGAUACGGCCCAGACUCCUACGGGAGGCAGCAGUGGGGAAUAUUGCACAAUGGGCGGAAGCCUGAUGCAGCAACGCCGCGUGCGGGAUGACGGCCUUCGGGUUGUAAACCGCUUUCGCCUGUGACGAAGCGUGAGUGACGGUAAUGGGUAAAGAAGCACCGGCUAACUACGUG